rnacentral:rRNA from 1 species
GAGUCAACAUAGCAAUAUGUGGCAUACGGCUCAGUAACACGUAGUCAACAUGCCCAGGGGACGUGGAUAACCUCGGGAAACUGAGGAUAAACCGCGAUAGGUCAUCACUUCCGGAAUGGGUAAUGACUUAAAUCUAUAUGGCCCCUGGAUUGGACUGCGGCCGAUCAGGCUGUUGGUGAGGUAAUGGCCCACCAAACCUGUAACCGGUACGGGCUCUGAGAGGAGGAGCCCGGAGAUGGGCACUGAGACAAGGGCCCAGGCCCUAUGGGGCGCAGCAGGCGCGAAACCUCUGCAAUAGGCGAAAGCUUGACAGGGUUACUCUGAGUGAUUUCCGUUAAGGAGAUCUUUUGGCACCUCUAAAAAUGGUGCAGAAUAAGGGGUGGGCAAGUCUGGUGUCAGCCGCCGCGGUAAUACCAGCACCCCGAGUGGUCGGGACGUUUAUUGGGCCUAAAGCAUCCGUAGCCGGUUCUACAAGUCUUCCGUUAAAUCCACCUGCUUAACAGAUGGGCUGCGGAAGAUACUAUAGAGCUAGGAGACGGGAGAGGCAAGCGGUACUCGAUGGGUAGGGGUAAAAUCCGUUGAUCCAUUGAAGACCACCAGUGGCGAAGGCGGCUUGCCAGAACGCGCUCGACGGUGAGGGAUGAAAGCUGGGGGAGCAAACCGGAUUAGAUACCCGGGUAGUCCCAGCUGUAAACGAUGCAGACUCGGUGAUGAGUUGGCUUAUUGCUAACUCAGUGCCGCAGGGAAGCCGUUAAGUUUGCCGCCUGGGUAGUACGGUCGCAAGACUGAA